rnacentral:rRNA from 1 species
GGAAUAUUGGACAAUGGGCGCAAGCCUGAUCCAGCCAUGCCGCGUGAGUGAAGAAGGCCUUAGGGUUGUAAAGCUCUUUCACCCGUGAAGAUGAUGACGGUAGCGGGAGAAGAAGCCCCGGCUAACUCCGUGCCAGCAGCCGCGGUAAUACGGAGGGGGCAAGCGUUGUUCGGAAUUACUGGGCGUAAAGGGCGCGUAGGCGGCCUGAGAAGUUCUGGGUGAAAGUCCUCGGCUCAACCGGGGAAUUGCCUGGAAAACCAUCGGGCUGGAGUGCUGGAGAGGCCGGCGGAAUUCCUGGUGUAGCGGUGAAAUGCGUAGAUAUCAGGAGGAACACCCGAGGCGAAGGCGGCCGGCUGGACAGACACUGACGCUGAGGCGCGAAAGCCAGGGGAGCAAAC